AGACCCUGAGGUGGGGCUUCGCUUCACUGAGGCUUUCCAGCAGAGGACACCAACCUCGCUGAUGAUGGGUUUUAGAGCAGGAUCGUUGCUGGCUGGUCCCAGUGCAGAAGUUGUAGCUGACCUGUUACAGGUGACAGCUGAAGAAAUGGACUGAUGAUGGCAAGCUCAGAAAGCUGGACAAAGGGAAAAGCAAAUCCCUGUGCCAUGGGUGGGACAGGAUGGAUGUAGAGAAUGAUGUGUGGGCAAGGAGUACCAGCAGAUGGGCUCUCCUGGGAGGCUCAAGCUGAGAGGGCAUGGACACACAGCUUGGAAAGGGGAUGCUGCUUUGAGGCAAAAAAAGCACAUUUGGUCCUUUGGACGGUGGACUGAACCAGGAACCAGGUUGCCCAGAGAGGCCAUGGAAUCUCCAUCCUGGACUGUUCUGCUCCUGCUAGCCCUGUGUGUGGGGUGGGCUGGAGCCUGCCUGAAGUCCAGGUUGACCCACUCCACUGCCGCCUGAAGUACAAACAGAGCUCGCCAUGGCACCACUUCUUAUUUCCACUAUUUUUGUCCUCUGGGAGUUUUUCUUCCCCAGAAUUUAUCUCUUGAAAUAAAGUAGCUUAUAAUAUUUUCCAUUCACAAGCCUUUAACUUGGUGAUGCUUUCCUCGAGUAUAAAAGCAGUGGGAGAAUUGUAUUUUUAAAGCAAUCCCCACUUGAGUUACGGAUGACAUGCUUGCACGCUUGUGAAAUGCGUUUGCUCAGAGUUCCUUUGUUUGCUGCUGCCAGCCUUGUGGUGAUCCUGUGCCCAUGUGGCUUCCUGGUGGCUUCCCAGAGGCUCCCUCGGGCACGCACAACAUUGACUUCCAUGAAGUUCACCACAGGACUGAAGUGAGAAUAAUUUUGCAGUCUGAGAGAUGGAUUCCUGCCUGUCAGAAAGGCCAUCCCAGCAUCCAGGGUGCAUCCUCUGUGUUAAUCUACAGGUCCCCAGUAAGAAAUACUUCUGCAGAGAAGACAGAGGGGAAAACAUGAACAAUGGCCUUCUCCUGCCCUAAUUGCAAGUACAGCAGGCAUGUCAAGUGUGAAUUUGAGAGACAAAGGUAAGGACUGCUUUGUAAACAGGAACAGAGCUGCUGAAACAGAAGGACAAUAGCUAAGGACCAACCUGUAGCUAAAUCUACCUCCAAGAAACCUUAUUUGAGGAAGUAGGUAUAAUUCUAGAUCAAUGUAUCUUUGUUUUAUCUCCUGUUGGAUGCCCUUGCUGCCUUUUAUAUGAAGUUUGAUUGCAUAAAUGGGUGUCAUGUUUUGUAAAUACUUCCAGGUGUGGGAAGAAUAGGUGGGGGAAUGGCUGAUGUCUGGAUGUCACUUGGAUGGCAUGAAAAAGGAGCUGCUGGUUCUCUGAGCUGCUGCUGGACCUGACCAGAGCAAGGGUCUUUAGGGCCAUGAGAAGGUAUUAAAAUCUCACUGGGCUUCCCUGUCCACAGAGUGUUUAGUCUCCAGUUGCAGAGGAACCAUCACAUUUUCAAACACCACGUGUUUGGGUUUGGGGGGCAUCUUUCCUACCCAUUUAGUGAAUAUAGCCACUCUUCUUUAUUGACAUUAUGGAGUGAAAAGUGACUGCUCCACCAGCCAAAAUAAAUUAAACCUGCCUUGUUAGGAUGGCUGCCUCUGAGCAUUAAAAGUGUGAAACACACUCUGGGCAGCAAGUCAUUAAAUAUACAGGGAAAAGGUACAGAGGUUAAAGAAUACUCAGAUAAGUUAGAUAUAUGCAAGUCAGCAGGGCCUCAUGAAAUUCACCCUGGAGUACUGCAGGUACUGGCUGAGGUGAUCUCUGAGCUAUUAGCAAUUAUCUCUGAGAGCUUGUGGAGGAUGAGUGAGGUCCCAGCAGAUGGGAGAAAGGCAAACACAGAACCUAUCUUUGAAAAGGGGAAAUGGAAAGACCCAGGGAAUCACAGGCCAGUCAGCCUGGCUUUGAUACUGAGAAAAAUGCAGGAGCAAAUUAUUGAACAAUCAAUAUGUAAACACCUAGAGGAAAAUAAGGUGAAAAGAAACAGCCUGCUUGGGUUUGUCAAGAACAAAUCACAUCAAAGCAAUCUCAUUUCCUUCUUUGACAGAGUAACUGGCCCAGUGGAUAAGGAGGAAGAAGCAGAUGUGAUAGAUCUUGACUUUAGCGAGGCUUUUGACACACAUCCACAUGACAUUUUCAUAAGUAAACAGGAGAAAUAUGGUUUAGAUGAAGUUAUUAUGUGAUGGGCACAAAACUGAAAAAUUUGGCUUAUUAGUAAAGCAGUUAUCAAUGGUUUGUUGUCAGACUGGGAAAACAUAUCAAAUAAGAUACCACAGGGGACUGUCUUAGGUCCAGCAUUAUUCAAUAUUUUCAGCUUUGAUGAUGGAAUAUGUUGAAAACUUCAAAAAAUUACAUAUGAUACUGAACUAGGAGGGGUUACAAACAGAACAGGAUUUGAAUACAAAAUGGGCUUGAUAAAUUGAAGAAAGUGUCUGAAAUCAAUAGGAUGAAAUUCAAUAAAGGAAGACAAGUGCAAUGUAUUACUUUUGGGGAAGGAAAAAUCAAAUGCACAAGUAUUAAAUGGGAAACAACUAGUUUGAGAGCAGUUUUCAUAAAAGAGGCUUAGCACAGAGCACAAGCAAAAUGAAAUCUAAAAAUGUGAAGAUGUGUGAAGAGUAAAUUCCACGAUUGUAUGAAUUAAUAGCAAUAUUGUGAAUAACUGGGAAAUAAUUAUCUAGUUCUGCCCUGAGUGGUGGAGUCUGACCCAGGAAUAUUACAUCUGUGUCCAACAGUAAUGGCACAUUUUGAAAAUCAUUCUCCUUUAGAUGGAGAAAGAACAAAGCCUAGGAAACAAUUUCUGUGAGGAAAAGCUGAUUUUACUGAGUAUGGGCUUUUUUCUAAGGAAAAAGUGUAAUGCAUCUACAGUAUGCAAAAUAUUAUUAAAAAUCUUGUAAAGAAAAGGACACUUGCCUGCUUUCCCUUUUUAAAAUGGUAUAAAAAAGAAAAAGAAAAAAAAAAGAUGGAAUAAGCUAAAGCAGAUAGAUAGAGAGAUGUUCUGUCUAUGGGGAUGAUACUGCACUGGAGCAGGGUUUCUGAGGAUAUUCUGGAAUCCUUGUUUCAAGUCCUGAAAAUGGGUCAGACAGACAUCUGUCUGUGAUGUGAAACAGAUGUCCUCUGGAGGGUACUCCUACUUUUACAUUUCUACAGUAAUUCAUACUCCUCAGUCAAGAGAAAAGCUCACAUGAACAAGAUAAGCAAGAAUUAAAUGCAUGGUUAUAAAUUUCCUCCCAGACUCCCACUUUUCCACUGCAAACUUCUUUUUUUGGAUUUAUGUACAUUUAUCACACAGUUCUCUGUUCUCCUUUUCACCUGUCUUUGCCUUAAAACAGAGGGAAGAGUUGAUAGUCAUUCCAUAAUUAUAUGAAAGAUUAUGAAGCUAGACAGGGCUACCUUCUAUCCAAACAUGAAAUCAUGCAUGUUCAUUCUCCUGGACUGGUUGCUGGUGCAAAAUCAAGACCAAAAGACUUUAAACCCCCCCCCCCCCCAAAACCCCAAACCUUUUUGAUAUUAUCUGCUGUAAGCUGCUUUAAGAAACGCUUUGCUCUUUUCCUCUUUUUGUUUUUGAUGAAGAUACGCAGUCAGAGAAUGAAGCUUUAUAAACAUACAUUCACCCUUUAAAUGAUAGACAUGGGACAAACUGGGUGGUACUUUUAUGAUGUCUUAUUGGCAUGAUUUUGAACUGGUGUGUUAUUUUGCGGCAUCCUAGACAGAAUGCUGCAAACCCUCUGCAUCUUGUUUCUGUGUGAGCCAUGUGCAUCCUGAAACAUAGACUUGAAAUACCUAGUGAGAAGUAAGAUCUUCAUUCAGGGCUGUAGGGCCAGAAAUCUUAGUCAUCAAGUGUUGUUUUGUGUGAAGGCUAUGAGAAGAAAGAGCCAUUAAAUGGCUGAUCUAAACUAACAUAUGUAACUGCAGAAUUUGCACUCUGCAUUGUGGGGGAUGCUACACUCAAGGAGAAGAAUGUCUCUUCUCCUUGAUGUGCUUGGCUUUGUGAUGAUACCUGCACAAAACAAAUUUGUGAAACCCUUCUUAAACGGCUACAAGGCUGUGAUCACCAGUAAAGAAGUGCUUGCCUGACUGUGAAACUUGUAUUCCUUCCUUUGUAUCUCUGUGAAACCUUUCCAGUUGCAGGAGCCAGGGGUGUUGUAUUUUUUUAGAUGUUUGUGGGAUUAAUGUACUUGUUCCCAAAUUCGGGACCUAGACUUUCUCCCAAAUGUGGAGGUUUAGGAGCAGAAAUGUACGUAUUUAGGGAAGGGAUAUUUAUUUGCCAGGUGAGCUGGCCUGUGGGUAACUGUGUUUGAGUAAGAUCAGCUCUCAGGUCCCUGGGAGGAGUUUGUUCAGGUAGUGUGGGAAGUGUUCCCAAUCAUCCAGAAGGAGCCAGAUCAGCUGGAGCCAGGAUCAUGCAGGAUGCUAAGGCUGCAUCCAUGUGAUGCUGUGCUUCAUGGCUAUAGACAUCCGUGCCAAGGUCAAAAGUGUUACCAACCUUCCUUUCCUCUGUUUUGUUCUGGCUCAUGCUUUUAACCUCCAUGUUUUAGUUAUACCUGUUUUUAAAGUCUCAUAUUACCAUUUGCAACUGAGUAUUUGUCAAAACUGAGCCACCCAGGAUCUACUAAAGUGCCAGCAAUAUUUUAUACACAACUGAAGCCUCGCUAAAAGACUAUAUUGAGACUUUACUGACGCUGUGAAGAAAAAUAAACUCAUAGUUAGUGACCCUUGUAGUAUGGUUGAACUGAUAGGAAGAUGCACCACUACUUACAUUUAUGGUGAGAUCUACAGUACAUAACUUUUAAGAGGGAAUUUUGUAGCAGAAGGUUUUGGGAGGUCACUGGUAAUACUGUCAUUAACUUGCCAGUGAGAAGAUAGAACCAUAUUUAGAGCCACUUUUACCCCUGUUUUCUGUAAUAUAAUAGUUUUUGAGCUUUCAUUAGCUACCACAAAUGAAAGAUUUGUGGUAGUAUGGAACGGAGUGGGUUCUUCUUACCACUUGCAAAAGGUCUUAUUAAACAUAAAGUAAAAUAAAGCUUCCUGGGUCUAAAUAUAGGCGGGACUAAAUUGGCAGAUCUCAGUAAGCAUGAUUGCUUAGUAAUGGAGAUAAUGCUGAGUGAGCUUUAUAGAAGGGGAAAAAAACAUAAAUAAAAAUAUUUUUUUGUCUGAAAUGCUGCCAAAAGUUAAUGCAUCUUUUCCUUUCAAUGAAACAACAUUGUCCUUGUUUUCCAUCUCAACCAGCUUGAGACAUUUUCCCCAGUCUGAAAUAUAUCCACAGCCUGUUCCACACUAAAAUUAUCAACCAUACAAGUUGUGUCAUGACAGUCAGAGAAAAAAAACAGUCUAAGACAAGAUCAAUUCCUGACCAUAUUUCUAUUUUUAUAUUUUUUUAAGAAUUAAUGCUGUAUUCACAGAAUAACUCAUCUAGGGAGGAGUAACCUCUAGGCAACCAGCUGGUCAGGCAGCAUAGAGGACACCCAUCACAGACAUUUAGCGUCUUUAAUUGUAGGGGUGAUGCUGGUUAAGAGGAAAGACCUGUUCUUAUCUACAGGAGGGUUUAAAUCCAUUUUUGAAGCCUCUAAAAGGAUCUUGCUGAAACUGAAUCUUUGCUUGAAUUUCUCACCCAGGUCCCCUCAGCUCAAGCCUUCAGGCUGAGCUCUGUGUUGUGCCAGAGGGAAGCACUUUGGAGGGGAUGGGUAAGCACAGCCACCCUUCAGCUGGGACUCAGUGUGGCUCUGCCCGUUUCCAGUGACUCUCUGAUCUCAGUCCUCAAGCCCUGAGUGGAGAGAUGGUGUCUUCUGCAGAUUUCUGUCUGUGCCAAAUUACUGCAACUCAAAAAAACAAGAGGGGACAUGCAUGCAGAUGUUGCAAGGUCAUGCAUGGAAAAAAGACAACACCGAUGGGUAGAAACUCAAAUUGUUGCUUGCUUACCAGCAUUACCUAAUUUGAUUAUAUUCACUGAAUUAUCUGUAGCAGCAGACUUUGUGGAGAGGUAUGGCCCACCUGUGAUACAUAUAUAAAUAUAUACAUGUAUAUAUUUAUACAUUAUCAUGGUGAUAAAUUUUAAUGAGAGCAUCAUCACAACCAGCUGGUGUUGUUUGAAACAAAUUGCAUUAAUAAUGUGUCUGAAUUUUCAGCAUAAGACCAAAUAAUGAGAGUUGUAAAGCUGCAACAUAAUGCGGAGUCAACAGUUUAGUGGGCAGGCACUCCCACCUUAGGCAAGGCUCUGAAUCUGCCUUCUUCUGUGGGAUGAAGUUUAACCCUCCCUCCUCCACACCCCGCUGGGAUGUCACAGGGGUGCAGCCUCCUGGCACCAAGGAGAAAUGCUGAGAUAUCUGACAAGUGAGGCCUGAAUUAACACUUCAGGUAGCACGCUUAUUUUGGGGACAGCAGGCUGGCAGCUCCCUGCUAUGUGAUAUUUCUGUUCUCUGUCUCCCUGCUUUGGAGAGCUCUGGGUCCUGCUUGUGCCACCCUACGCUGCGUGGUGGAACUCACAGCACUCCUCUCCUCCUUCUGCUGGCCUGCGGUGGUGGAGGGGCAAAGGCAGGAUGUGUUUUCAAUGUGCAGCCUCAAUCAAGGUCCUAGAGGUCCAGUGAGGCACUUGGACAAGGAUCUGCACCUUGCUGGCAGUGCUGUUCCCAUGGUGGAAAGGCUCCAUUCCUGGUGAUGUGGAGCAUGGGGACCUUAAUGUGGGACUAGAAUGCAACAACACCCCUGUGCUGCACACCUCUCACCCAAUGUUGGAGCAAAACUCCACCAGGAUGGAGGGAUUUCACCACUCUUCUUGUUAAAUAUUCUCAGUACAUGUGUUUAAGGUGUGCUAGAACGUCGUCCUCGCUUCUCUAUGACUUCUGGCUGAAGAUAAGCAUGAGAACUUUGGUGAUCCCUUUCUGUUUGUUUGAGGGUAAGCUGCUCUCUUUACCAGCCCCACUUUCUGCCUGGCUACCCAGAUCCCACCAGGAAGACAUGAUAAAAGGCAAAUGUGUGUCUCAGGGUGUGCACAGACACAGAGAUGCCCACGCCUGGGACUCUUGGUAAAUACUUUAAGUGUAGAGUUUCUCUAUCAAUAUUCUAUUCUCCAUAAUUUAUGUCUUUUACUCAGUCACUCUUGUAUGUCUUGACACUUGUCACUUGACAUUGUGAAUGUUUUCUUUACUUUUUAGAUCAUCAUAAAUUAA